UCAGUCUCUGUCGAACCUCCGCCGUGUACGGACGUGUUAAGUGUUAGUUGGUGAAGUGAUUUUCGUUAUAAAUCGGGUGUUAUGCUGUGGGAGCGAGUGCAGCCUACAAGAAAAGAAGAAUAUCUCGUGCGUGAAGUUCACAAUACUUAUUAAAGAACAUUCUCCACGAAGCACCGAUUGUUGAUGUAUUUCGAGACAUCCUCAAGUUCCGGGUAUAUUUAAAAAGGAUUUAGGCCGCCGUCGCAAGCUGCGCGCGCGCCGGCUACGAAGUAAGCGCGCGCCAUGCGGCAUUCCAACGCGCUGCUUAGGGAUACUAAAGC